rnacentral:rRNA from 1 species
AUUGAACGCUGGCGGCAGGCUUAACACAUGCAAGUCGAGCGGGGUGAUGGUGCUUGCACUAUCACUUAGCGGCGGACGGGUGAGUAAUGCUUAGGAAUCUGCCUAUUAGUGGGGGACGACAUCUCGAAAGGGAUGCUAAUACCGCAUACGUCCUACGGGAGAAAGCAGGGGAUCACUUGUGACCUUGCGCUAAUAGAUGAGCCUAAGUCGGAUUAGCUAGUUGGUGGGGUAAAGGCCUACCAAGGCGACGAUCUGUAGCGGGUCUGAGAGGAUGAUCCGCCACACUGGGACUGAGACACGGCCCAGACUCCUACGGGAGGCAGCAGUGGGGAAUAUUGGACAAUGGGGGGAACCCUGAUCCAGCCAUGCCGCGUGUGUGAAGAAGGCCUUAUGGUUGUAAAGCACUUUAAGCGAGGAGGAGGCUCUUUUGCUUAAUACCCAAGAUGAGUGGACGUUACUCGCAGAAUAAGCACCGGCUAACUCUGUGCCAGCCGCCGCAGUAA